rnacentral:rRNA from 1 species
UGUAGUCUGCAACCCGACUACAUGAAGCUGGAAUCGCUAGUAAUCGCAGAUCAGAAUGCUGCGGUGAAUACGUUCCCGGGUCUUGUACACACCGCCCGUCACACCAUGGGAGUUGGAAAUGCCCGAAGCCAGUGACCCAACCGUAAGGAGGGAGCUGUCGAAGGUGGAGCCGAUGACUGGGGUGAAGUCGUAACAAGGUAAC